rnacentral:lncRNA from 1 species
AAAAUUCAAAUUAGAUGUAAAUGUUAAAGUUGGAUGGUUGUCGGCUUGUCGCAAAAAAAAAAUUACACUUCAUUGCACCAUAAUUAAGGUUGCAAAUUCAUCAGAUCAAUGUAAGCAACAAGGGUAACUAGAAAUGCUAAUUUAUCUAUGCUAAUCUACAGCUUUAGGCAUUCCAUGGAAAAGAAUUUGAGAUUUCAGUGUUGUGUUAUGUUGGUCGCUCUCUUUAAUUAAGUCAUUCCAAUUUCCUUUCUGAGAUUAAGUCCCCUGCUUCAUCGUAACAGAAAUCAUUCGGCCAAAUAAUUAAAGUCACCUUAAAAGAAAACCAUAUUUUGCCUCAUAUAUCUUUGACAAACCAUUAUCCACAUACUAUUAAGAGCAACACCAGUUAAAAUAAAAACAUGUCAAGGAAAGAAUGUACCUACAUAUGCUACACGAAGAAUUUGAAUCGAAGAUCACAGUCCGUGUGCCUAAAUGAUCCACAUCGUUCAAUGUAAAAUAAAAAAAAUAAGUUGAGCACGCAAACAAGUAAGAUAAGAAUAGGAAUGGAAGCAUACUUACCCGCCGAAGUAAAAGACAUUGCCCGAAAUAUACAUAAUUAAAAUCGUAUGCAACGAUUUCCAGCCUCUUGAUGUGCAGAAAAGUGAUAAUUCACAAACCACAUAAUCCAAAUUUGGCGAUUGUGGUCCACAGACCCUUAACAAAUUUCAUCCAGAACAUUAAAUUGAAACUGUCUGUCACGUUUUUUAAGUAAGCUUAAACAAAGAUUACCUUAGUUUCCACACAUUUUUUUAAUCAAAACCACAUGAUAAUGCAUGCCUCCAUUACCUCCAUCAAACACAGAUUAACUAUUACUUUUAAGAAAAGACUUCCUGCAGCCAUAGUGAAUGAAACCGAUAAUAUAAUAAGAGAUAACAUCUCACAAAGUGGAAUUGAACAACUUAUCGAUCAGGAUUUUCUUCCUGUAAUAGUUGAUCUGCAACAAAACAACCACACCAACUAACAACAUGUACAUACAUUAUAUCAAACAGUUGGUCUACAAUAAAGCAACUGCAAAUACUUUACGCAUAAUAUCUUUGAUUUUCCCUUAUCUUGGUUGACUAAUGAACCUGAUGCGAAUCAAAAGAAAACCAAGAACAAGUUUAGAAUUGAAAAAUGAGUACUAAUUCCAUGAAACAGUAUUUUAGACGUUACCUAAAUCGAUCGAGAAAGAGGUCCGUUCAGUGGUUCCAUCUCUAUCAUUCACCCCCACAUAUGCAUUGUCGCUGUUAAUGAUCACAAGUUCCUAAACGAACCAUGGAUGUUAGUUCAAAGGAAGGGGGAUAGUUGACGAUGGAAGAACCCUAAACAAACCCCUGUGCAUUUGAGUCAAUAUUAAUUUGAGAGUGGGGGCGUGGGUGUGGGUAGGGAGCGGGAAAAUGAAACUUUGCUUUAGUGGGAAAUUGAAAAAUUCAUUUCACACACUAAGAAAAUGCGGCUAAAGUAACCAGCCGGUAGUUUUUCUAGAUAAACACCAAAUAUAUUACUGUUGUUUGUUUCUCAACCAUACUCUAUGUCCUUCGCGAAACCCAUUUAUGAUUAUAUAAUACCGAAU